CACGUAGGGGGCAAGCGUUGUCCGGAUUUAUUGGGUUUAAAGGGUGCGUAGGUGGGCAAGUAAGUCAGUGGUGAAAUCUCCGGGCUUAACCCGGAAACUGCCAUUGAUACUAUUUGUCUUGAAUACUGUGGAGGUCAGCGGAAUAUGUCAUGUAGCGGUGAAAUGCUUAGAUAUGACAUAGAACACCAAUUGCGAAGGCAGCUGGCUACACAAAUAUUGACACUGAGGCACGAAAGCGUGGGAUCAAACAGG
rnacentral:rRNA from 1 species